AUUGAACGCUGGCGGCAUGCCUUACACAUGCAAGUCGAACGGUAACAGGUCUUCGGAUGCUGACGAGUGGCGAACGGGUGAGUAAUACAUCGGAACGUGCCUAGUAGUGGGGGAUAACUACUCGAAAGAGUGGCUAAUACCGCAUGAGAUCUACGGAUGAGAGCAGGGGAUCGCAAGACCUUGUGCUACUAGAGCGGCCGAUGGCAGAUUAGGUAGGUGGUGGGAUAAAAGCUUACCAAGCCGACGAGCUGUAGCUGGUCUGAGAGGACGAUCAGCCACCCUGGGACGGAGACACGGCCCAGACUCCUACGGGAGGCAGCAGUGGGGAAUUUUGGACAAUGGGCGCAAGCCUGAUCCAGCAAUGCCGCGUGCAGGAUGAAGGCCUUCGGGUUGUAAACUGCUUUUGUACGGAACGAAAAGCCCCGGGUUAAUACCCUGGGGUCAUGACGGUACCGUAAGAAUAAGCACCGGCUAACUACGUGCCAGCCGCCGCGGUAA
rnacentral:rRNA from 1 species